GGCAAGAUGGCCGAGUGGUCUAAGGCGUAGCAUUAAGGAAGAUGCUCUGAGCAUUCAGAGGAACCUGCUAUCUUCGGGCGUGGGUUCGAAUCCCACUCUUGUCA
rnacentral:tRNA from 1 species